rnacentral:tRNA from 1 species
AGCUCCGAGGUGUGUCACAUGCAGGAUUGCAAAUCCUGAGUAGUCGUCUAACUUCGACCGGGGCUU